GGAGAGUUGUCCGAGUGGUCGAUGGUGCAGCACUCGAAAUGCUGUGUCCCGCAAGGGACCUAGGGUUCGAAUCCCUAACUCUCCGCCA
rnacentral:tRNA from 1 species